rnacentral:rRNA from 1 species
GACGUAGGGGGCAAGCGUUGUUCGGAAUUAUUGGGCGUAAAGCGCUCGUAGGCGGGACUGGAAGUCCGUGUUGAAAGACCUCGGCUCAACUGAGGGACCGGCGCGGAUACUCUAGUUCUUGAGGCAAUCAGAGGGUGAUGGAAUUCCCGGUGUAGCGGUGAAAUGCGUAGAUAUCGGAAGGAACACCUGUGGCGAAAGCGGCUCACUGGACCAUUACUGACGCUGAGGCACGAAAGCUAGGGGAGCAAACAGG